GUUGCUUCUUUUUAAUAAUGGUGUAGCUGGUUUUGAUCAUUCCGGUUACUAUUAAUGGGAAGCAUAGAGUGUUGUGAAAUAACCAGUUUUAAACAGCAUGAUGCUUUUGUUUAUCUUUUGCAUCGUGUUACCUGUCUGCUGGUAUAUUU